AGUGAACGCUGGCGGUAGGCCUAACACAUGCAAGUCGAACGGCAGCAUAGGAGAGCUUGCUCUCUGGGUGGCGAGUGGCGGACGGGUGAGGAAUACAUCGGAAUCUACCUUUUCGUGGGGGAUAACGUAGGGAAACUUACGCUAAUACCGCAUACGACCUACGGGUGAAAGUGGGGGACCGCAAGGCCUCACGCGAUUAG
rnacentral:rRNA from 1 species